GGACUGUACAGACAGCCAGCAGAUGUGCUUGGUGUGGGCAAAGAAUGGCGAGUGUCAGAAGAACAAAGAAUCCUUUAACGAGGAUCCAUUGGAGGGCCAGUCUGGUGCCAGCAGCCGCGGUAAUUCCAGCUCCAAUAGCGUAUAUUAAAGUUGUUGCAGUUAAAAAGCUCGUAGUUGGAUUUCGGGACGGCACGGUCGGUCCGCCGCAAGGUGUGUCACUGGCCGGGCUGUUCUUCCUCGCAAAGACUGCGUGUGCUCUUAGCUGAGUGUGCGGAGGACUUGCGACGUUUACUUUGAAAAAAUUAGAGUGUUCAAAGCAGGCCAUCGCUUGAAUACAUAAGCAUGGAAUAAUGGAAUAGGACUUUGGUUCUAUUUUGUUGGUUUCUGGAACCGAAGUAAUGAUUAAGAGGGACAGUGGGGGCAUUC
rnacentral:ncRNA from 1 species